rnacentral:lncRNA from 1 species
UUUUUGUAUUUUUAUGGUUUGUACCAUUAAUGCUUUUUUUUCCAUUUAUACUCUUGCCGUUAGUUUAUCUCUUUUUAAAAACAGUUCUCUUGAGGUAUAAUUGGCAUACAAUAAACUUCACAUAUUUAAAGUGUACAAUUUUAUAACCAUUAAUAUUUUUGUCUCUGUCACAUGCUGAAUUUAUAUGCCUACAAAUAUACUUACAAUAUCCUCAUUACUUGGUGUUAGAAAGUUGGUAUUUGUGAGUACAUUGAUUCAUUCGACAAAGUAUUUACUGUGGGCUGUGCCAGGCAUUGGUUGUGCUAACUUGGAAGGUUGUAGCCCAGAGACUAAAUCUGAACCCCAGAUAUUAUUUAUUUGGCCAAGUUGGGGCGGGGGGCUACAUGGCAAUAAUCGCCAGGAGCUGAGUAGAAGUUGCCCUCGUUAGAUGACACUUUCACUGUUUCAUCCAGGCCACUUCAUUCCUUUAAUUUACCUGCCUGGUCACUAUUAGAAUUAGAAUUUGAGACCCUUCAGUUAUAGAUUCUAAGAUAUAAGACAUACCCCUUGUUUUCAGUACACGUAUGUUCUAGAGGGUGAUGAUCAGGUAUGACGAUCACCACCUCAUAACAUGGGUUGUCAGUCUACAGCCUGUGGGUCAAACCUGUCCUAGCAUCCCUUUUUGCAAAUAAAGUUUUUAUUAGAACACUGUUAUGCCCACGUGCUCACAUCUUGUCCACACUGCUUUGACACUACUGUGGCAGGCUCCCUACCUAGACAGGUUCCUACAGCAGCUGUAACAAGUUGGGUGGCUAAAGUAGCAAAAAUUAAAUCUUUCCCAGUUGUGAAGGUCAGAAGUCCAGGGUCAAGGUGUUGAUAGGGCCACACUCCCUCUGGGGACUCUAGAAAACAAUCCAAUUUUUGCCUCAUCCAGCUUCUCUUGGCAUUGCUUAAUUCCUGGCUUCAUUGCUCCAGUCUCUGUCUUUGUGGUCACAUGGCUUCCUCCUGUUCUCCCUGUCUUCUCUGUGUGUCUUCUAUAAGAACAUUUGCCAUUGAAUUUAGGCCUCACCCAGCUAGUUCAGGAUGCUUUCCUCAUCGUAAGAUCCAUUACAUCUGCAAGGAUCGUUUUUUCAAAUAAGGUAACAUUCUCAGGUUCCUGGCUUUCGGACAUGGAUCUUUUUGGGGCACCUGAGUGGCUCACUCGGUUGAGUGUCCAACUUUGGCUCAGGUCAUGAUCUCACUGUUGGUGAGUUUGAGCCCCCGUCAGGCUCUGUGCUGACAGCUUCAAGCCUGGAGCCUGCUUUGGAUUCUGUAUCUCCCUCUCCCUCUCCUCCUCUCCCCACUUGUGCUCUCUCUGUCUCUCUCAAAAACAAAUAAACAUUAAAAAAAAUUUUUUUAAGCAGUGAAAAUCUUUUUAAUAACAAGGCAGGGUCUGGGGUUAGUUUUGGUGGCCACAGCUGGCCCUGCGGCCUCUGGCGCGCUCGAACUUCCGGCCCUUGGAUCGCACGUAGGGUUUGGUGUGGCUGUGUGGGGUUCUUGGGGCCUUGCCAAAAUGCCUGUACACCUCUCGGCCCUUGCGCGGACCAGAGAGCAAGACGGUGCCACAGCCUUGGGGGGGUCCAGGGCCAACUGGUCGAAGGUGAGGGUCUUGCCUCCAGCUUUGAGGAUGCAGCUCCCGGCAAGGCUGCUCACAUGCGGCGCGCACAUGCGCACACCUUCACUUUGGGCUCCUCCAGGACCCGCACGUCAUCGGUUACCCUCCCGGCAACCACAGAGGUUUUGUUUUCCUGGCCAGGCAGCUUCAUCUCCCGGAUCAUCCAGGAAAGGGACAGAGGUAGUCGGUUGGUGCGACUCAUGAACAAUCUCUUCAACAUAACUUGGUUAAAGGUAGAGUUGGUCCGUCUGGCCAGAAACCGGUGCAGCUUGACCAACAGUCUCAGGUAGAUGUCCUGGUUCUUGGGUUCCUUGCGCAGAACCUUUUGGUCCUAAUUGUGGCGGAUGUCGACUCCCAUGAUGGCGCCUUCUGCUCGGC